GGAGCCCGUGGGCAGCCGCGCUGAGACCGCAAUCCUUCCCCGGUCCCGACUCCUGCGCCCGCUGCAUCGGCUUCCAACCUUUCCGUCUCCCGUCCGAGAAGCGCCUCGGACACGGGAGAAACCCGCCGCUUCUCUGGGGGCUAUUUCAGGAGGAGGUCCCAGCAGACAUUUCGGGUUUCGCAAGGAGCACGGUUUCCUGACAGACGAACGCACAGGGAACAGGCUUCUGGGGGAAAUCCUGCCGCGGCCUGGGGAGCGGCGCCGCGCUCCCACGGCGCCCAGGGAGCCCGGCUCGGCGGACGCGGAUGGACGCACAAAUGGACGGAUGGGUGGAUGAGCGCUGCCAGCGAGCAGUGAUGACGACAAUUACAUAGGUACGGGCUCUGGUACUACAAAAUCUAUAAUGAAGGGCAGCUAAUCUGAAUGGAUUGGGCCCACAGUCCCUGAUUCUCUUUUAAACAUCAGCCUAAACAUGAAAUUUUUGAAGUGGAAAAGCUCACCAUAAUUCAUCAUUACAUGUGUAAUGUACCAGUUUUGAAAGUUGAAAAGAUGUAACUCAAUGGAUACAAUUACUGCUAAAUUCAAUAAAGAGAAAUGAUCAUGACUGAUGCUAA